rnacentral:rRNA from 1 species
AGCAGUCGCCACGGGAAUACGAGGGGGGCAAGCGUUGUUCGGAAUUAUUGGGCGUAAAGGGUGCGUAGGCGGUUUGACAAGUUCUAUGUGAAAUCUAUGGGCUCAACCCAUAGUCUGCAUGGAAAACUGUCAGGCUUGAGGAUGGGAGAGGUGAGUGGAAUUUCCGGUGUAGCGGUGAAAUGCGUAGAUAUCGGAAGGAACACCUGUGGCGAAAGCGGCUCACUGGACCAUUUCUGACGCUGAUGCACGAAAGCUAGGGGAGCAAACAGGAUUAGAUACCCCCGUAGUCCCUGUCUCUUAUAC